AUAGAUGGAGAGAAACAAUCCUAUGGAGGUUGUGGAGGCAGAGAUGCCACAUAUGUCAAGUUAAAAUCUUCUGACAGUCAUAAUUUUAUUGUAAAAAGAGAAUAUGCCCUAACAUCAGGAACAAUAACACCCAUGUUGAGCGACCCAGUUCAGUGGUGGAAAAUGAAGCCAUCGAAGUGAAUUUUAGAACAAUCCCUUCACAUGUGCUAUUAAAUGUACUUAUUCCAUCUACAAGGUUUUCUAUACUAACAGCUCUACUGAGAAUGCCAAAUUCCCAAUUGCACCUAAAAUUACAUUGAAAUUGCUGAUGGCUGUGAACUCCCUAGAAUGUU
rnacentral:lncRNA from 1 species